rnacentral:rRNA from 1 species
UACGAAGGGGGCGAGCGUUGUUCGGAAUUACUGGGCGUAAAGGGCGCGUAGGCGGCGACCCAAGUCAGAUGUGAAAGUCCUGGGCUUAACCUGGGGACUGCAUUUGAUACUGGGUUGCUUGAAUUCGGGAGAGGAUAGCGGAAUUCCCAGUGUAGAGGUGAAAUUCGUAGAUAUGACCCGGAACACCGAUUGCGAAGGCAGCCCGCUAAGCAACUAUUGACGCUGAGGCACGAAAGCGUGGGGAUCAAACAGG